rnacentral:rRNA from 1 species
GAAGCAAGCUGAUCCCCUUCGGGGGUGACGCUUGUGGAAUGAGCGGCGGACGGGUGAGUAACACGUGGGCAACCUGCCUGUAAGACUGGGAUAACCCCGGGAAACCGGGGCUAAUACCGGAUAAUACUUUCUUUUGCAUAAAGGAAAGUUGAAAGGCGGCUUCGGCUGUCACUUACAGAUGGGCCCGCGGCGCAUUAGCUAGUUGGUGAGGUAACGGCUCACCAAGGCGACGAUGCGUAGCCGACCUGAGAGGGUGAUCGGCCACACUGGGACUGAGACACGGCCCAGACUCCUACGGGAGGCAGCAGUAGGGAAUCUUCCGCAAUGGACGAAAGUCUGACGGAGCAACGCCGCGUGAGUGAUGAAGGUUUUCGGAUCGUAAAACUCUGUUGUUAGGGAAGAACAAGUUGGGUAGUAACUGACCCAACCUUGACGGUACCUAACCAGAAAGCCACGGCUAACUACGUGCCAGCAGCCGCGGUAAUACGUAGGUGGCAAGCGUUGUCCGGAAUUAUUGGGCGUAAAGCGCUCGCAGGCGGUCCUUUAAGUCUGAUGUGAAAUCUCGCGGCUCAACCGCGAACGGUCAUUGGAAACUGGAGGACUUGAGUACAGAAGAGGAGAGUGGAAUUCCACGUGUAGCGGUGAAAUGCGUAAAGAUGUGGAGGAACACCAGUGGCGAAGGCGACUCUCUGGUCUGUAACUGACGCUGAGGAGCGAAAGCGUGGGGAGCGAACAGGAUUAGAUACCCUGGUAGUCCACGCCGUAAACGAUGAGUGCUAGGUGUUAGGGGGUUUCCGCCCCUUAGUGCUGAAGUUAACGCAUUAAGCACUCCGCCUGGGGAGUACGGCCGCAAGGCUGAAACUCAAAAGAAUUGACGGGGGCCCGCACAAGCGGUGGAGCAUGUGGUUUAAUUCGAA